AGUGAACGCUGGCGGUAGGCCUAACACAUGCAAGUCGAACAGCAGCACAGUAAGAGCUUGCUCUUACGGGUGGCGAGUGGCGGACGGGUGAGGAAUACAUCGGAAUCUACUUUUUCGUGGGGGAUAACGUAGGGAAACUUACGCUAAUACCGCAUACGACCUACGGGUGAAAGCAGGGGAUCUUCGGACCUUGCGCGAUUGAAUGAGCCGAUGUCGGAUUAGCUAGUUGGCGGGGUAAAGGCCCACCAAGGCGACGAUCCGUAGCUGGUCUGAGAGGAUGAUCAGCCACACUGGAACUGAGCCACGGUCCAGACUCCUACGGGAGGCAGCAGUGGGGAAUAUUGGACAAUGGGCGCAAGCCUGAUCCAGCCAUACCGCGUGGGUUAAGAAGGCCUUCGGGUUGUAAAGCCCUUUUGUUGGUAAAGAAAAGCAGCAGGUUAAUACCCCGCUGUUCUGACGGUACCCAAAGAAUAAGCACCGGCUAACUUCGUG
rnacentral:rRNA from 1 species